rnacentral:rRNA from 1 species
AGGACGAACGCUUGCGACGUGCCUAAGAAAUGCAAGUCGAACGGGGAUGAUCUUCGGAUUGUCCUAGUGGCGAACGGUCGCGUAACACGUGGGCAACCUGCCCUGAAGCGGGGGACAACGGUCCGAAAGGGUCGCUAAUACCGCAUGUGCACCGGUGAUGGCAUCAUCAUUUGUGCAAAGGACUUCGGUUGUAAGACUGUGGUUCACUUCAGGAUGGGCCCGCGGCCUAUCAGCUAGUUGGGGGGUAACGGCCCACCAAGGCUUCGACGGGUAGCUGGUCUGAGAGGACGAUCAGCCGGAUUGGGACUGAGAUACGGCCCAGACUCCUACGGGGGGCAGCAAUUAGGAAUCUUGCACAAUGGGGGAAACCCUGAUGCAGCGACGUCGCGUGGAGGAUGGAAUCUUUCGGGAUGUAAACUCCUUUUCCGGGGAAGAAACAAUGACGGUACCCGGUGAAUAAGCCCGGCUAACUACGUGCCAGCAGCCGCGGUAA